AUCGGAAUACUGGGGCGUAAGCGCACGCAGGCGGUCUGUCAAGUCGGAUGUGAAAUCCCCGGGCUCAACCUGGGAACUGCAUUCGAAACUGGCAGGCUAGAGUCUUGUAGAGGGGGGUAGAAUUCCAGGUGUAGCGGUGAAAUGCGUAGAGAUCUGGAGGAAUACCGGUGGCGAAGGCGGCCCCCUGGACAAAGACUGACGCUCAGGUGCGAAAGCGUGGGGAGCAAACAGGAUUAGAUACCCUGGUAGUCCACGCCGUAAACGAUGUCGACUUGGAGGUUGUGCCCUUGAGGCGUGGCUUCCGGAGCUAACGCGUUAAGUCGACCGCCUGGGGAGUACGGCCGCAAGGUUAAAACUCAAAUGAAUUGACGGGGGCCCGCACAAGCGGUGGAGCAUGUGGUUUAAUUCGAUGCAACGCGAAGAACCUUACCUACUCUUGACAUCCAGAGAACUUUCCAGAGAUGGAUUGGUGCCUUCGGGAACUCUGAGACAGGUGCUGCAUGGCUGUCGUCAGCUCGUGUUGUGAAAUGUUGGGUUAAGUCCCGCAACGAGCGCAACCCUUAUCCUUUGUUGCCAGC
rnacentral:rRNA from 1 species